AGAAAGGUACUUAGCUUUGCUUGACUAUUACAUUCUUAUGUUGACAUGUAUUGAUUGUUAGCCUUGAAUCUAUUUCAGAAAUAGCAGCCUGAGAGGAACACUGGAGGUAGAAGGGCAUCACAGACUGCUGACAAUGUUCAGGAAAGAACAAACCGUUUUUGUAAGGAGGAAGUUGAAGAGGGACAAUCAAAAAGUAAUCUGCAGCAGGUAUGAGACUUUUAAUAAUUGAGGUGAGACCCAUAUCACGUAAGUGAAUAAAUGUACCUCGGGUGUUUUGGUAACCAGGUGUAUUACUGUUAGCUAAAUCCAUAAAAAAACAUUUUCUUAACUUGAAAUAAAUUAAACAUUAACUGAAAUAAAAUAAAAACUUAAGAUUAUUUAAGCUUAUUUAUUUUUAUUUAGUCUAACCCUCCUGUUACCCUAAAAUCUGAUAACAUUUUUUUUUUCGACCCCAGCAAUUUAAACCUCCAAAAUAUAUAAAUAUAUUUUUUUCUGUCACAUCAAAGUCUUUUUAACUGUUCCCAUACACCUUCCUCCCCUCUAAAUUUGUCAUUUAAAGUAUAU
rnacentral:lncRNA from 1 species